rnacentral:rRNA from 1 species
ACGAUGAAGAGUUUGAUCCUGGCUCAGGAUGAACGCUAGCGGCAGGCUUAACACAUGCAAGUCGAGGGGCAGCACGUCUUCGGAUGGUGGCGACCGGCGCACGGGUGCGUAACGCGUAUACAAUCUACCUUUUACAGAGAGAUACCCCAGAGAAAUUUGGAAUAAUACCUC